GCCCCGGUAAACGGCGGCCGUAACUAUAACGGUCCUAAGGUAGCGAAAUUCCUUGUCGGGUAAGUUCCGACCUGCACGAAUGGCGUAAUGAUGGCCAGGCUGUCUCCACCCGAGACUCAGUGAAAUUGAACUCGCUGUGAAGAUGCAGUGUACCCGCGGCAAGACGGAAAGACCCCGUGAACCUUUACUAUAGCUUGACACUGAACACUGGUCCUUGAUGUGUAGGAUAGGUGGGAGGCUUUGAAGCGUGGACGCCAGUCUGCGUGGAGCCGACCUUGAAAUACCACCCUUUAAUGGCUGGUGUUCUAACGUAGACCCGUAAUCCGGGUUGCGGACAGUGUCUGGUGGGUAGUUUGACUGGGGCGGUCUCCUCCCAAAGAGUAACGGAGGAGCACGAAGGUUAGCUAAUCCUGGUCGGACAUCAGGAGGUUAGUGCAAUGGCAUAAGCUAGCUUGACUGCGAGAGUGACGGCUCGAGCAGGUGCGAAAGCAGGUCAUAGUGAUCCGGUGGUUCUGAAUGGAAGGGCCAUCGCUCAACGGAUAAAAGGUACUCCGGGGAUAACAGGCUGAUACCGCCCAAGAGUUCAUAUCGACGGCGGUGUUUGGCACCUCGAUGUCGGCUCAUCACAUCCUGGGGCUGAAGUAGGUCCCAAGGGUAUGGCUGUUCGCCAUUUAAAGUGGUACGCGAGCUGGGUUUAGAACGUCGUGAGACAGUUCGGUCCCUAUCUGCCGUGGGCGCUGGAGAAUUGAGGGGGGCUGCUCCUAGUACGAGAGGACCGGAGUGGACGCAUCACUGGUGUUCGGGUUGUCAUGCCAAUGGCACUGCCCGGUAGCUAAAUGCGGAAGAGAUAAGUGCUGAAAGCAUCUAAGCACGAAACUUGCCCCGAGAUGAGUUCUCCCUGAGACUU
rnacentral:rRNA from 1 species